AAAUUCCACCUUCCUCAAAUCACCAGCAAACCUAAAUUCCCAAAUCCCCAAAUCUAUUUGUUAACCAAAAAUCCCUAAAAUUGCUAACCCAAAACUCCCAAAUCCCUAAAGUCCCGAACUCUAUUUGUUUUACUCGAAGGAAGAGAGAAAAUAUCACCGUAAACGUCGCUGCAAUCAGGUUUCCCCCUCUCUGCAACUCCUUUCUUCCAACAAUCCUCUCUCUUUUUUCUCUAGUUAUGUUUUUUUUUCGCGAUUCUCUCUAGCAAUCGGAAGAUUCAGAAUUUGAGCUCUCCAUAUCAAGAUUCUUCAUCUUGUUGCCUUUAGAACAAUUAUAACAUUGAACAUUGAAUUGGGCGUGAAUAUAAGUAAUUGGGAGGAACGUUGAACUUCAGUAGGUGAAACAACUUUGGUAGUAGUAGGGGUUAGAGAAGCUGCAAAUUUGGUGCGAUAAGGGCAGAGACUUUGGCUCCUCAUCUUAAAGUUAUUAUUGAAAAGGCCAAAUUUUUGUCAAAGGAUUUGAGAGAGAUUUCGGAUACUUUUGUUCGGUUGUUGAGGCCCGUCCCUUCUCCCACGUCCUCUUUGGUUUAGUUGAAUCUGAAAAAUAUUUGAAUAGUCAUGAAUCAAGAAGGGUGCUCAAGCAAAAAUAAGAAAAUAUCCAACCGCAUUCCAGCUGGAUCAUUUGCAUCUUUGCGAAAUCAAAGGGUUUCGUCGUUGACAACAAAAAGAACCUUCCAAGCUAUAAGAUCAAAUGCAAUUGAAGAACGACAAUCAUAAGGUGGAUUACCUUCAUCUUUGCGAAACCAAAAGGUUUCGUCAUUAACAACAAAAACAGCCUUGAAAGCUCUAAGGUCAAAUGCAAAUGAAGAACGACAAUCCGAAGUUGGAUCUCAAUUGCAAGAACAAGUGCAGCAAGUGUCAUGGAAUCGCGCCUCUUCAGCAACACAAGGAGUACAUGGACAAGUGCAACAAGAAAAUAUGGAUUUCAUCACUCCUGCAUCACAUGGAGUACAUGAACGAUCUGAUGAUUCUACCACUCAUGAAGCAGUUGAACAAUUUGAGGAACAAGGAAAAUAUAUAUAAAUUUUAAUCAUAUACUUAACUAAAAUAGUGAUUAAUGAUUAUCUUUGUUUUGUACUAUUGCAGGCCCCUCCUCGCCAAAAAGAAAAAGAGGCCGUACUCAAAUGCCAAGGGUUCAUGGUAGAAAUGAGCGUAAAAUAAUCAUUCUAAAUGAGUAUAAUCAACCCGUUGGUCCUACUAAAGAGGUUGCAAAAGAGUUGGGUAGCUUCCUCGGCACAUUGGCAAGGAGUGGGACUUUUUGUCCUCUUAAUGUAUUUAAUUGGAGGAAACUUGACACAAAAGAGGAUAUGUGAAAAUAUAUCAAGGAACAAUAUGACAUUCCUGAUGAGGCGAAACCAUGGGUUUUUGAAUCAGUUUGUAGUGCUUGGAGAAAGUAUAAGAGUCAAUUGAAGACAACUCACUUCACAGCCUAUAAGAAUGAUGAGCUUCGAAUGGAGAAUAGGCCAGUAGAUAUUCCGGAAUCUCACUUUAAGGAUCUUCUUAAAUAUUGGAACUCCGAUCCUCACAAGGAAAAAAAGAAGGAAAUCUCUGAUACUUCAGAUACUGUAUCAAGUAAGGACAUGUUUGUGGCUACAAGAAAAAGAAAACUUGGCCAAGUAUACAAAAGCUCAUAUGACAAUACAAUUAGUAAAAUUGCUAAAAUGGAGAGAAUACAAUCAUCUCAGGAAAGUGAAGAUGGCAGUCAUUCAGAUGACGCUUUUGCAUCAGUCAUGGGACCUGAACAUCCAGGUCGCAUGAGAUUGUAUGGAUGAGGGGUUACCAAGAUUGUGUUAAAGGGGCAAAAAGGGAAUCUUGGAUCUUUUGAUGAGAGGAUGCAUCAGAAAAUGGAGGAAAUAGAAGAGAGGAUGCAACAACGAAUGCAUGAUGAAUAAAAGGAUGCCAUGGAACAAAAUAUUACAAUGAACGUCAUCGCACGACUUCAGUGUCUGAACCCAGAUUUGCGACUUGAUCCUGACAUGUUAAGGUUCAGUGCAUGUUCACCUGUAGAAGCUUCCUCUGCACAACAAGUUAUUGUUCAACUAAACAGUCGACCAUCUGCUGGUAGUAACAAUCAAGGUGGAGUAGAUCAAGAAAUGGAUGAUGAAGACGAUGAAGAACUAGACCUUACUUGAGAUAAUUUUGAAUUGUUAUAGAUGAAUAUUCUAGGAAUCUUUUGUUACCAACAUUUUUUUUAAACUUAUUUACCCUCUUGAAAUGUACUAAACUUAUGCACUCAUGGGGUAGAACAUUUGCCUUAUGGAUAUUAUUAUUUGCUUGAUGGAUAAUUUUAUAUUAUUAAUAGUUUCA